GGUUUUAUUAUGGGCUUAAUUAAUAAUUUUUGUAUUAGGAAAAGACUCUUAAAUCUCUUUUUGUUUAUUACUUUCUUUUGAACAACUUAAUAGCUUAGAGCUGUGAAGGUGUGUAAUUUACCAGUGUUAAGUAAUCUCUUUUGUACCUUUUGUAUCAGGGUCUGCUAAAAUUGGUUAUUUAUUUCUUUUUCCCGAAGAGAAGAGAGUUACUAGUUUUAUUUGCCUUUUGUAGCAAAAAGAGGCUUAAUGACCUGGUAGUAGCGAGAUGUUAUUCGUUCUUCUGGUUAUCUGGUUCUCAUAGAAAUUUAGGUGGACGUUAGUAGUAAUAGUAGCAGAAAAUUUAUUAGGGAUAAGCUUAAUAUCUUACAUUUAUAUAGAUGUUUAAAUAGCGUUAUGAGAGGAUUAAUAGUGUCUUUAUGUUUUAUAACUAACUUAUACUAAUUUAUAUUAAUUGGGUAUAUGAGGGUCUAUUGAAAUUUUUUUUGUUAGUAAUUAUGGUAGAAUUAGUAGAUUUAGAUUUUAGUAUGUAAAUUUAGGUGUAUCAGUUAAGGUAUCUAGUUGUAUAAAUUUUGGUAAGGAACUAGGCAAACAUUUUUCUUAACUGUUUAUCAAAGACAUUUCUCUAAGAAAGGAUUUAGAGUAUGCUCUGCCCCCUGAUUAUAUUAAAGGGCCGCAG
rnacentral:rRNA from 1 species